rnacentral:rRNA from 1 species
CCUACGGGUGGCAGCAGUGAGGAAUAUUGGUCAAUGGACGAGAGUCUGAACCAGCCAAGUAGCGUGAAGGAUGACUGCCCUAUGGGUUGUAAACUUCUUUUAUAUGGGAAUAAAACGUUCCACGUGUGGGAUUUUGUAUGUACCAUAUGAAUAAGGAUCGGCUAACUCCGUGCCAGCAGCCGCGGUAAUACGGAGGAUCCGAGCGUUAUCCGGAUUUAUUGGGUUUAAAGGGAGCGUAGGUGGAUUGUUAAGUCAGUUGUGAAAGUUUGCGGGUCAACCGUAAAAUUGCAGUUGAAACUGGCAGUCUUGAGUACAGUAGAGGUGGGCGGAAUUCGUGGUGUAGCGGUGAAAUGCUUAGAUAUCACGAAGAACUCCGAUUGCGAAGGCAGUUCACUGGACUGCAACUGACACUGAGGCUCGAAAGUGUGGGUAUCAAACAGGAUUAGAUACCCUAGUAGUC